AAAAUAUUUUGCUAUUCCUUCUAAAUGUUAUAUAUUCCAUAUAUUCUUUUAUAUGCCCCUCUGCUGUUCAAUAUAUUCCUUUGACCUGCUUAUGAUUGGAUUAAGAUGCUUAAGGAUGGUUGGAACUAUCCUUAAGCAGGGUAUAUGCAGAAUGGUAUGGCUUAGGUUCUUAUUAGAUUUCUAUAAAGUAAAAAAAAAUUAUUGUGAGAGACAUGCAUCCUGCAACCUAAGCCUCUGUAUAAGACAGAUAGAUCUUAAUCGUAAUAAGGAGAGUGUCAACAUGGCCCCCUCCGAUUUGAUUGAUUUUUACAUGUAUUGUAGUGCUAUCCUCCCACAGGCCCAUGGUAG
rnacentral:lncRNA from 1 species